UACAGAGGUCUCAAGCGUUGUUCGGAUUCAUUGGGCGUAAAGGGCGCGUAGGCUGCGGGGCAAGUCGGUUGUGAAAUCUCAGAGCUCAACUCUGAAACUGCACUCGAUACUGCUUUGCUUGAGGACUGGAGAGGAGAUUGGAAUUCACGGUGUAGCAGUGAAAUGCGUAGAUAUCGUGAGGAAGACCAGUGGCGAAGGCGGAUCUCUGGACAGUUCCUGACGCUGAGGCGCGAAGGCCAGGGGAGCAAACGGG
rnacentral:rRNA from 1 species